UUUGGGCCUUCAGUAUCUGGGCCAUGGACCUCUAAGCCUGUGCCAGAAAUCAAGAAUGAAAUAAAUAGUCAACGGCCUCAAUUCACUAGCCGUUGGAUUUAUAAUGUCGGACGACCAUGGACUUUUCGAUUUGCAAAGAUCUAACGGCCCCAAUUUACUAGCCGUUGGUUUUUCUUUCUUUCUUUCUUUCUUUCGCAUAGAAUCAGAGAUCACUGAGGGUGAGCGUGAAACAGCAAGACUCUGAGAGAGAGAGAGAGAGAGAGAGAGAGGUCGUUUAUGAUGGAGUGUUUCUCUGAAGAUCGGACGGGAACAAUCCGGGCGGGAUUGGAUCGGCGAAUGUUCAAGGUAACUAACUUAAAAUUUGACAGAAAUGAAGUAUAGUUUGAAUUUAUAAAUCAGCGACUAAACCAUAAUUUAAUGGUCUGAAUUUAUAAAUUAGCGACGAAACCCUAAUUUAAGCCCCAAUUCGAGAAUUGUAUUCUCGAAUUUUUUUUAUUUUUUUUUAAAAUUUUUAAAUUGGAAGGGGGAAAUUCGCUUUGGAGUUGGGACACUACCGGAGAGUAUUGGGCGACACUAACCAGAACGUAAUCGGACCUCUUUCAUUCCUCUUCUGCAGUCAACAAGAGAGAGGCAUUUUCGGUGUAAUUAUCUGUAGGCUCCGAAAAUGAAAAUUUUCGAGUGUUGUGUAAGUAGCUUUUUUGUGUCAAGAAAAAAUGAUUGAUUUAACUCAACUGGGUCUAGUCUAAUAGGUGCAUUUUCUUUUUGGGUAGUAGUUCUAGUAGCUCUGCAAAAUGGAGUUUCUGAUUUAUUAUUAUUUUUCAAUUGUUUCUCUUAUUAUAUUAUUUUGAAAUUUUUGAAUAUUUUCCUUGUCUUCCACAGCAACCAAAUGGAUAGUCUUAAAUAAGGUCAAUGCAUACUGUGCGAUAACAAAAUCUACCCUAGGUACCAUUAUUGUGAAAAAGAAGAGGACUUUAAUUAUUCAAAAUUAUUCUUCUGGUCAUAUAGAUGCAUAUAGGUUCAAUGUGGUAUUUGACCGAUGUGUAUAAUUGCUUUAACAAGAAACUGAGAAAUCAGUCUUUAUCUGAUCCCUAACACAAUUGAAUCUGAAGAUUGUAUGUACCAGCACAGAGACAAUGAGGAAAAUGGCAUAUAGGUUCAAUGAAAUAUUUGACUGGUGUAUAAUUGCUUUAACAAGAAACUGAGAAACCAGUCUCUAUCUGAUCCCUAAUACAAUUGAAUCUGAAGAUUGUAUGCACAAUGAUGGAACAGAUUGAUCAAAUGGUAUUUACUUACCCAUCCCCAGUUUUGCUUAAAAAUUUAUAUGGACAAUUCUUAAAAGAAUUUAACGAUAACAAAACUUCUGAAUAGAUUGCCAUAAUAGAUUGCCAUUGUUAUUUGUUUUCCUGCAGGAGGAAGUGGAAAUGGGAGUUCAUAUUCUUGCUUCUUCUUCUUCUUCUUUUAAUUAUAUUCUGAACAAAUGUGAAGUUUUGGGAACUAAACAUCAGAUAUUUGCUUUUUGAUCUUUUAAGUUUUUCCAAUGGUGUUUCUCCUUUCUUAAUUUUCCAGGAUCAAAUUGGUCCAAAUCGCCAAGUUUAGUCUAGUUCUACUAUUUCUACCAUAUCUCUUUCUGCUGAUGUUGGUUCUUUCACUCUGUUAAAAUGCUUCUUUUUUUGGACUGUGUAUAUGAUGAAACAUGCUGGACUAACUGUGUAGAUUACCAAGAAAGUAUUUGUAUAUGCAUUAUUUGAUUUCUUUUGUAAAAUGAACGAAAAGCAUCAUUGCUUUCUUUUAGAGGACAUAAGAUCUGGGAAGCAAUUAUGCAAGAUUUUCUAUCUAAAAGCAAAUGGUAGGCAUGUAAGGCGAAAGUCCACUGCUUAUAUGUUUAUCAGUUUUUUGUCCAUGUUGAUUUAUAUUUCUGUCAUAUAUAUGAUCCUCCAUGACUUUGCACGGUUUUAUUUAAUUUUACAAGGCAAUGGAUAUUUUAAUUUAUUGAAUUUAGAUGGUUGUAUUUAAUUUUACAAGGCAAUGGAUAUUUUACUUCAUUCUAUCUCUUCCUUAGGCCUUGCACAGGUUGCUCUGCUGGGGGCUUAUCAUCAUUUUUGCGUUAUGACAACUUCAAGAAGUAUAUUUAUCAAGAAAGCUAGUGUCAAAUGCUCGAGAAUGACACAGUUAUUUUAUUUUAUUUAUUUUAUUUUUUUUUUGUGGCGAGUAGAUUCUUUCUUCUAAUACACUUUUGAUCUUACUGUCUUUAAUAUUUUUGUUGUUAUAUGAGAGACAUAAGUUUGAACCACACUAUGAGGUUUUUCUAUAAAGAUCUAGUUUCUCUAGGUACUUUCUCUUUUCACAAGUUAUAUUGUGAGGCAUUCCUUUUGUUCUGAAAAAUUUCAGUGAGCUUUUCUAGCUUGCUUUUAAAACAACACCAUUCUUCAUUUUGAAAUCAGCUCCAAGUCGACAAAUAUUUUUCCAUGCUAGAUUUAUCCAAGUUAAGCUAACAAAAACUUCCAUUUUGAAGUUGAAACAACUAUGAAUAAUUUCUUAGGACCAUAAUUUUUUAUCUGUGACUCAGACUUUGGCGUGCCACCAGUCUAUGAACUCGUAUCGAUGAGCUCUACACAAUGGUAACUAAUAAAGUUCUAAUGUUUACAGUUCCUUCAUGCAUUGGUGCCUCUUAUCCUCCUGAAUAUAGAUCUAUCCAGAUAAGUAUAUUGUUAAGGUUGCAAGGGCCUUAGCUUUCAAGAAUUUCGUACUUCUAACUUCAUGAUUUCUUUGACCAAGCCUAAGAUUUGUUGAUAUAUCAGAAAUUGGAUUUAUUUCUUAAUAUGCCAGAUUAUUAUGACUCCUUUCCUUGAUGUGCAAUUGCUUUUUACAGGUUUUUGGUGGCAUUAGCUUCUUGCUUUUGUCAUUCUUCAAUUCCUCAAGAAGAGAGGGGGGGAUGUUUGGUAAGGUACGAUAAUUUUAUGCAAAAUAUUGUUUACCAAGUACUGUUGCAUUAGACAAUUGCAUGCUAUGUUUUCAUUUGGAAACUGAAAAUUUGUGAAUUUUGAAGUUUUGCUGAAGUACAUAGUAAUGUCACUCAUGAAUUUAUGUAUAAUACAUUAUGUAUCUGAUCCUCUACUCUCACAUGAGGUUGUUAAACUGAAAUGAGUGCUCUAUAUGUUUAUUUUUGACACAAUUAAAAUAUUAUUUAUGUACUAGUUCUUUAGAUCAUUAGCCAGCAUUUAUCUAUCUGCAUGCGGAUAAAUAUUUUCCACCACAUUUAUGAGCAGUUGUAACUAUGCACUAGUUCUCUCAGAGUGAGAGCAUACUGCUUCUACAAGUGGGGCAUAUCAAUUAAUUCUCAACAUAUUCAAUUGGACUUCUCCUUGUUUUUGACUGAUCUUCUCGUUGGUUAUGCAUAUUCUUUACUAAUUGUUGCUUUUACAAAACAGAGAAAUUUUGUGAAUUCUAUUUAGUAUGGACCACUGCCCUGUAGCAGAACAUGAGUAUCCUUCUACUAUGUUUUAUUAUUAUUUUUUAUCAUAUCUGAUCGUCAAAUUAAACCUUAGGUAACAUUUUAGACCAAAAUCCUCUUGAAGGUCUAUAGGAUGAAGCAUUGUAAGUUCAGAAGAUUUAAGGCAGCCAAGAAGUUUUCGCUUUUCUGCUUUCUAUUUUUUAGGAAGUUUGAAGGUUAAUAUAUUUGAAGGUCUUGCUUUCUUCCAUUUUUUUAUUUAUUUUAUUUUAUUUUUUUUGUUCUUGGUGCUUUUAAAGAGUAUAUGUUAGAUGUAUGUGUAUGCAAAUAAUCAAACCACAAUCUCACCUCAAAGAAUAUGGUACAAUAGUGUCAGUAACUAACUUUUCCAUAUAUAUUUAACUAAUGAUUUAUGUUAAAAAGGUAUAAAAUAUGAAUAUAUUCACGAGACCAAAUAGAAAAUUUAAAAUACUGUUAGAAAGAGCGAAAGUUUUCAACAUUAGUGAAAUGAUUUAGUGUUUAAUAAUUUGCUCGUUUUAGAUAUAAUGUGUUUUAUGAUACUGGUAUGUGCUUGCUUGGCCAUCUAAUUUUUUAUGCUAGCUGUUUUCUUUUAUUUACAUUAUUUAGUUUUGUUAUUAUGGAGGACUCUCAUCUUUAGUUUUGUUAUUAAUACAUGAUUGUUAUGUGUAUUUAUGAAUUAUUUCUCCUACCAGGUAAAAAGGAUAAAAGUGAAGACAAAGAGGCAAACUGCGUUUUAUAAAGAAUAAAGUGAUAUAAUUAGAGCUGUAAACAUAUAUAUUUUUCACCAAAUAAAUAUUUUUGACGUUAAUUUUUUUUUUCUUUUUUCUUGACGUAUUUUUUUUUAAAAAUAAAAAAGUAUGAUGAUAUUAAAAUAGUUUCAAACAAAUAAAAAUUAGAGGAAAAAAUUUUUCACUGCAAGGAAAUAUAGUUAGAGUUAUGAACAUAUAUAUAAUUUUCACCAAAUAAAUAUUUUUGAGGUUAAAUAUUUAUAUGUUUGUUAUAAAGAUCUUUUCUUGACGAAACAAAAUAGAAAAAUAUUGUCUAACACAGAAUAACAAAAAAGUUGGAUUAAAGUAUAAAUAUUGUAUAUUGAUAUGAAUGUAUAAUAAUUAGUAAACUUUAAAAAUCAUUUUAUGAAUACAAAAAAUGAGGAAUCGUGCCAAAAGCUAAUUAUUUUUUAUUAAUUUUAAUUUUAUAAUUAAAUGAUUAAUGGUGUGAACGAUUUUUUUUUUUUUCCACCUGAAACUGUUUUUGAUGUUUUUAUAGUAAUAAAUAUGCAAAACUUGAAUUAUUUAAGAGACUUCUUUGUCAACUAACACUCUUAACCUUCUUAUAUCUACUAAAAAUUGUAAUAAUAUAGUGCAAUUUCAUAAUAUUGUAAGAUAUUAAGUCAUAAUACCAAAAUAUUGUAAAAAUUGUAUGUGUCAUUGUGAAUAAACUAACAAAAUACUAGAUAUACAAAAUGAUCUAAUUAAGAGAAGUAUUUCAAUUUUUAGUAUGUUAACAAAUGUACAUUAGACUUUUUUCCUAUUUUAAAGAUGAUAGGCCUCUAGAUUAAUGAAGCUGAUUAAAGUUAACGAACGAAAAAGAAAAUAUAGUGUGUUGGCAUAAAAUUAGAGACACGCACCGUAGGGGUUGGACAUUGUUGCAUGCAUGUACAUAUAAUUUUUUGUACAAUUUUUUCAUAUAUUUUCUGUCCAAGCUACAUUUAAGGUCGCCACCUACUAUGAGAUCGUCUUGCCGAAGAGAAGCUGAAGCUGGGUGGAAAUUGGUAGAAAUUGAGAAGCAUGGCUAAUGUAAUUUUUGCUAUUAUUAUGUAAUAUAGCAUUAUGUAGUGUUAUGGAAAAUGUUAUAUGUAAAAUUUUUUUUUUUUUUGGGCAAUAGAAAAUGUCACAUAUAAUUUGAGUUUAUGUUA